AUUGAACGCUAGCGGGAUGCUUUACACAUGCAAGUCGAACGGCAGCGCGGACUUCGGUCUGGCGGCGAGUGGCGAACGGGUGAGUAAUGUAUCGGAACGUGCCCAGUAGCGGGGGAUAACUACGCGAAAGCGUAGCUAAUACCGCAUACGCCCUACGGGGGAAAGCAGGGGAUCGUAAGACCUUGCACUAUUGGAGCGGCCGAUAUCGGAUUAGCUAGUUGGUGAGGUAACGGCUCACCAAGGCGACGAUCCGUAGCUGGUUUGAGAGGACGACCAGCCACACUGGGACUGAGACACGGCCCAGACUCCUACGGGAGGCAGCAGUGGGGAAUUUUGGACAAUGGGGGCAACCCUGAUCCAGCCAUCCCGCGUGUGCGAUGAAGGCCUUCGGGUUGUAAAGCACUUUUGGCAGGAAAGAAACGUCGCGGGCUAAUACCCCGUGGAACUGACGGUACCCGCAGAAUAAGCACCGGCUAACUACGUG
rnacentral:rRNA from 1 species